GGCCAUAGCUCAGUGGCCAGAGCACCUGCUUUGCAUGCAGAAGGUCCCAGGUUCAACCCCCGGCAGCAUCA